CUGAGAGAUGUCAAAAUGUGGAACAUCUGCUGGAGAAAGCUGCAGGAAGGGAAGAGCACCAGGCCCAGAGAGAGGCCGCGGGCUGCAGCUGGAGAAUCCAUCAGCCAGGGCUGCCCAGCGCUUGGAGAUUGCCUUUCACUACCAUGUGUCCCAGAGGCUGCACGUGAAGCCACUGAAUUUGUUUGCCCGGGGUUCACAGCCAAGAGUUUGUCUUGACACUUUGGACUUAGACUUGAGCAAUGCUGGAAUUUCUAAGACUCUGGGGAUUCUUGGAGACGGAAUGCAUUUUGCAUGGCCAGAGCAACGGAGUCAGCUGACCAUGGACUGAAUCUGUGAAAGCGUGGGCGCAAAAUAAAAAUUUCCUGCUCGAAAAUGAAUGUCAGUAUCAUAAAAGAAAUUAAUAUGUCACCCUAUUAGAGGAGACUAAAGGAACAUGACAUACGUAAUGCUGUGAUUUCAGAGAAGAAGGUGGCCAUUUUUAAAGGGCUUUGGCAAGGAGCUCCUUCCAGGAAUUGGGGAGAUCCACUGAAAGUCCAGCAAACCAUCCUUGAAAACUUAUUACCUACAGAACCUAGUCCUUUACAGAGGAAGCAUGUGCUGUGCUAUAGAAGAUAUUAUUGAGAUAACUGACAA